UAAUAAAGGAGCAACAACUCGUCUAUAGAUUUACAAUCUACCGCUUAUUUCCUCAGCCACCUUAUC
rnacentral:tRNA from 1 species